rnacentral:rRNA from 1 species
CACGGGGGUUGGAGGGCAAGUCUGGUGCCAGCAGCCGCGGUAAUUCCAGCUCCAAUAGCGUAUAUUAAAGUUGUUGCAGUUAAAAAGCUCGUAGUUGAAUUUCGGGAUCAAAUUGUCGGUCGUGCCUCGGUACGUACUGGCGUUAUUGGUUCCUCCCUUCUGAAGAACCGCGAUGUCAUUAAUUUGGUGUCGCGGGGAAUCAGGACUGUUACUUUGAAAAAAUUAGAGUGUUUAAAGCAGGCUCGCGCUUGAAUACAUUAGCAUGGAAUAAUGAAAUAGGACGUUUGAUUCUAUUUUGUUGGUUUCUAGGAUCGACGUAAUGAUUAAUAGGGAUAGUUGGGGGCAUUAGUAUUCAAUUGUCAGAGGUGAAAUUCUUGGAUUUAUUGAAGACUAACUACUGCGAAAGCAUUUGCCAAGGAUGUUUUCAUUAAUCAAGAACGAAAGUUAGGGGAUCGAAGACGAUCAGAUACCGUCGUAGUCUAACCAUAAA